rnacentral:tRNA from 1 species
AAGCGAGGUAGAGUAAUUGGUCAACUCAUCAGGCUCAUGAUCUGAGGACUACAGGUUUGAAUUCUGUCUCCGCCUA